GAUGUGUUUACCUUGCCAAAUGAUAUCCAAUUGCCUUGAUUUUUUGUAUGAUGCAUGCCAUGGAUGUGGUGAUUGAGCAUCAUUUCUGUUCGAAUUUUUGGGAUCAUUUCUGAUUUAAUUGAGAUUUUUCAUUCUGAUUGGUCACAUUUGAGCUUUUAAAUAGCCUUGAACUUCAUUUGAUUGUGAAAUGCUUGUGGAUUAUCCAAUGCUUGUGCAAUUUUGCACACUAUUUCUAGACAUGUUGAGUGUUGUUU
rnacentral:lncRNA from 1 species